GAAGUUGAAGGCAAUGGAUGGUAUCAAAGUUGCUAAUGGUCUUGAAUGCAAGAUAUCCUGCAAGACCUCUAAGGUCUCCUAUGUCCUUGACACCGAAGAUUUCUUGUUUCGGUUGAGAAAGAGGAGGAGGCUUUCACCCGGUGGAAAUGUGGCCGACAAGUCGCCGACCUCCAAAAAAUAUGAUGCAAAAGUGCAGCGCUUUCAUUUAUUUCUAUCCAAGCCCUAAGAGGGCCAUAGGCAAAAAAACAUUGACAUUGUAUCCAGAUCAGGAGAUGCUGCUGGGGUUGCGACCGCCUUGCUCUUGCUUCGACAGUGACAAGAAUAAUAAUAAUCAGCUGGCCGCUGGAUAGAUGAUAUAUAUACCCAGUAAAUACAGCAAAGCAAAGCAUGUUAGGGGCCACCUCAGUCAGCCUUAGGCCGCGCUCAUCAGGCCGAAAAAGAUGUGUGUUUGUAAAUAUGUACUGGCAGAAGAAGGAUGUUGUUUGUUCCGUUAACCUGUUACCUGUAGUGUCUUUUUGGUCUUUUAGAAGUGAUGAUCACCAUUUGUUGAUGCUGGUAUAGGUCUCUUGUUAUGUUCGUUUUUCCGGUUCAAGAUAUGUAGCCUUGGUCUGUUAAAUGCAACAAUUGCAACAGUCAUUGUUUUUAA